rnacentral:snRNA from 1 species
AUACUUACCUGGACGGGGUCUAUGGGCGAUCAUCAAGGUUCAUGGCCUAGGUCAGUGACAGCCAUUGCACUUUGGCUGGGUGCUGGCUUAAGGUCUCCCAAGAGGGAGAUCCUACGUCAAAAUUUGUGGCAGAGCUGCGCAAGCCGCGGCCCCUGC